rnacentral:rRNA from 1 species
CCUACGGGUGGCAGCAGUGAGGAAUAUUGGUCAAGGGGAGGAAGCCUGAACCAGCCAUGCCGCGUGCAGGACGACGGCUCUAUGAGUUGUAAACUGCGUUUGUACCGGGGUAAAAUGCGCUACGAGUAGGGUUUUGAAAGUACGGUACGAAUAAGGAUCGGCUAACUCCGUGCCAGCAGCCGCGGUAAUACGGAGGAUCCGAGCGUUAUCCGGAUUCAUUGGGUUUAAAGGGUGCGUAGGUUGUUUUAUAAGUUAGCGGUGAAAUACCGAUGCUCAACAUCGGGGCUGCCGCGAAUACUGUCGGACUAGCGAUCGGCUGCAGCAGGCGGCAUGUGUCGUGUAGCGGUG